rnacentral:rRNA from 1 species
CCUACGGGGGGCAGCAGUGAGGAAUAUUGGUCAAUGGACGAGAGUCUGAACCAGCCAAGUAGCGUGAAGGAUGACUGCCCUAUGGGUUGUAAACUUCUUUUAUAUGGGAAUAAAACGUUCCACGUGUGGGAUUUUGUAUGUACCAUAUGAAUAAGGAUCGGCUAACUCCGUGCCAGCAGCCGCGGUAAUACGGAGGAUCCGAGCGUUAUCCGGAUUUAUUGGGUUUAAAGGGAGCGUAGGUGGAUUGUUAAGUCAGUUGUGAAAGUUUGCGGCUCAACCGUAAAAUUGCAGUUGAAACUGGCAGUCUUGAGUAGAGUAGAGGUGGGCGGAAUUCGUGGUGUAGCGGUGAAAUGCUUAGAUAUCACGAAGAACUCCGAUUGCGAAGGCAGUUCACUGGACUGCAACUGACACUGAGGCUCGAAAGUGUGGGUAUCAAACAGGAUUAGAUACCCCAGUAGUC